ensembl:lncRNA
CAAGUAGGGUCACAUUCUGAGAUACUGGAGGUUAAGACUUCAACAUCUGAGUUGGGGCGGGGGGACACAGUUCAACCCAUAACAGCUGCUAAGUGGAACCCUGAGAAAAGCUGGGGUCAGCAAAAUUAAACAGAUUAAUUUAGGGCCUCUGUGGCGCUUUUACAACCUUACUGAAAAACCUCUUGCACUCCUCCCAUUGAGAGCUGCGGCCUCUGUCCCAUCCCCUGAGACAGAUAGAGGAUGGUGGGAAUGAAGCUAUGUGACAUCCAAGGUGGACCAUAAAAGGCCAUACCGCUUCCAUCUCUUUCACUGGAAUGCUGGACUGCAUCUAAGAAGUGUUGAGUGCUGUCUACGAGCUGGAUGCUGGGUUGGGAGCAGUACAUACAUGGCUUCGUUUAAUGCUCUGAAGAACUCCACGCUACUGGCACCACUGUCUGCAUUUUCUGGAGGAAGAAAUGGAGGUAGAAAGAGAGAUGAAGUGACUUGCCGGAGGUCCCUUGUUGGUGAGUGAUGAAGCUGGCGUUCAUGUCCGAGUCAAUCAGACAACAAAGCAAUGCUUGUGCUGGCUGCAUGAUGCCUCUCCAGCGCAUUUCUGGAACUCUGCUUUGCCCCUCUAGAGCUUUCCAAAUUUUUAAAACCAAGUCUUCGACUUCCCUGGUGGUCUGGGGGUUAAGAAUUCACCGGCCAAGGCAGGGGACAUGGGUUCAAUCCCUGGUCUGGCAAGAGUGCACAUGCUGCAGAGGCCAGUGCACCACAGCUGCUGAACCUGAGCCCCUAGAGCCUGUGCUCCCCAACAAGAGACGCCACUGCAGUGAGAAGCCUGCACACUGCAAUGAAGAGUAGUCCCCACUGUCCGCAACUAGGGAAAGAAUGCGGCAAUGAAGACCCAGUGCAGCCAAAAUAAAUGAGUAAAUAAUUAAAUUAAAAAAAAAAAAACAAAAAAAAAGUUAAAUAAAAUCAAGUCCUG